CGUUUGAGUUAGAGCAAGUAUAUCUAUCCUCCCGUUGACCGUGGAUUCGUUAUCAAACCUAAGACCAUUAUCACUAGUGUCGCGAGUGCCUAAUCGCCGCUGUUGAUUGUCGAAUCGGUAGUGUUCAUACUCGUAGUAUCAGGCCGUACCGUCGUUAUAACACAGCGAUGGCCAUUCCAAUGGAGCUCUAGCAAAUGCUCACAACUCUAUUCCUGACGCUUCUCUGACAUAUAUAUUGAAAACCUAAAUG